rnacentral:rRNA from 1 species
UCAAGUGGUCAGGAUGAUUAUUGGGCCUAAAGCAUCCGUAGCCUGCUCUGUAAGUUUUCGGUUAAAUCUGUACGCUCAACGUACAGGCUGCCGGGAAUACUGCAGGGCUAGGGAGUGGGAGAGGUAGACGGUACUCGGGAGGAAGUGGUAAAAUGCUUUGAUCUCUCGAUGACCACCUGUGGCGAAGGCGGUCUACCAGAACACGUCCGACGGUGAGGGAUGAAAGCUG